GACAGCUGGGCAUGGAUAGCUUGAACAAUCAAACAUUCUCCUUCCCAAAUGCUAGCUACUAGGGCUGUGCAAAGCUUCGGGUGCUGAUUCAAUCGGAGAAGAUUUGGUUUGAUUCAGUGGCCAAAUCUCCAAAUCCAAAUUGAAUCGGGGACCAAUUAAAAGGCCUGAAUUGAUACAAAGCAUGAUUCAGACAGACCACAGUGGCUGCAGCAGGGAGCUACAGCCAGACACAGAGCUGCAGGUUUCUUUAAUGCAACUCAGAUCAAACACCCAGAAACUGAGGGACCUGGACUCACCAGGCACUUCUGAAAAUCUGGGCUUUCAUCUUUAAAUAUGAAUCUUACCUUCACAUUGGGAUAAUAAUAAACACAGCUCUAGUCUCCUGCCUACUGAAUCUGCUCCAGAGGCUAACUGAAUCCCAGUGGCUGAGAAGCCUCAGCCAGCAUCAUCCUGUGACCUUCCUACAGGAACUUGAUUGUCUCUUUGGCUGACUGAAAGGGGAAUAGAAACCCAGAGUGUGAAAGAAUAAGGUCAUAUCCCUGAGAGUGUUACAUGCAAAUAGAAGAAAAUCUUGUGGAGGAAAAAGAGAACUAUGGGGUAAAUGGAAAGGGAAAAGAAAGAACAAAAAAAAAAAAGGAGAGAAAUAAAGACAGUUGCUGUCUGGAACCUACAGCAAUAAUCAGUGAACACAUGAACUGGAGAACCACCUGAUCUACAUAAUAUUGUUAUGGGUGAUAAUAUAGUUAUGACAGCAGGUAAUGGGAGAUCAUUUGGGAUGGUCUAGAACUGGACCUCAAUGUAUGGGACUUAGAUGAAUGGGACUUGGCUCUGCAUCAGAUUAGGUUUGGAUUAUGCAACCUUAUGAUCUUCACCCUCCUCUAUUAUACAGUAGUUUCAACUUGUAACUAAUUCCUAACAUACUUAGCUGUAAAAUCCAGACACAUCCUGAACAAUAAAAGGAAUAUAUAAACUGGAACUUAGGUAAGGGAGUUGUAUUUUACUAUGGCUUAAUUCUGGGAAACACCUAGGGCUUAGUUGUAGAGGAUUCCGUAGGCAGAUGUCAUUUGAAAACUGGAACAAAGAGAUUUUAGCUAGAAACAAAUUGCUUGGGCUAAAUAGACUGUAUUAUUAAUCAUAUCUGCAUCACUACCUUAUGAUAUUUCUAAAUGGCAUCUAAGAACAGCAUAGUUUAUCCUGUUAUACAUCUUGUAACUAAUAUGGCAUAAUGUUUGUGAAAUAGGAUGCCUAUCAAGCCACAUAUCAGAGCCUGUGAAAAGGCAACAUAAUUCCAAGAAUGUUUUGCCUACCGUGGAUAUAAUAAAUAAAUCAAGGCAAUUGCACAAGCCACAACUUAGGUGGCACUAAUUAAACCAGUGGAAGCUAUGACACAACAUAAUUAUCAUUGCUACCCCACCUAAAUUUAAUUUUAGUGUUUCUUCCUAUCUUUUCCCUAGAGGGUCAAUAGAAGAUCUUAAAUGCAUGCUUCAACAGUGUCGAUUUCUAGAGGCAGCAUGGAAGAGAAAUGUUGAAUAAUUACAGGAGUGCAAGUAAGGGGAAAGAGGUGGGACUAUUAUGGGAAGUAAAACAACACUCUUCACAACAAUGGGGAAAGGGGGAUUCUGGGUUAAAUUUGCCACAAGGCCACUUAGUUAUGCCCUCAAAAUAGGCCUUACAUGAGACUUGAGUACAGGACAGGUCAUUUUGGCUUGCUACACAGGGGUGCAUUUCACCCACUGAAUACAAGAUCCUGCUGAGAAAGGAACUAAAGCACACAUGUCAUUCUAAGCUCGUGUGAUAUGCUACAAAUGUCACUGGAGCUCCUAACAGGCUUACCUUUAUGCAGAAGAUUAAGGGCCUUGGUGAAGAGGGUCAACAGGUUUUCUGUUUCUGGGAAGUUUUUUGCUGGAGUUACUGGAACUCCUGAGGGGAAAUAAGCAGAUCAGAAAAAUGGCCCAAUGGUUCAUGUACCAUAUUGUGACUUGUGAAACUUAUGGGUCAGUUCCUCAGUCUGCUACAGAUUUCCCCGGUGGCCUUGGAAAAGUCAUUUAGUCUUGCAUGUCAGCUGGUUUCUCAACUAUAAGUGGGGAUAAUAGCACUGCCCCAUGUCACUAGGUGCUGUGAGGACAAAUGUAGUAUAGACCAUGAGAUGUUUGGAUAUUACAGUGAGGAAGAAACGUAUGAAUACAUAAGGAAAAUGGCUUAUUGUUGUUUGCAGAUGUGACCCCUAUGUCUGUCAGUGAGUUACCUUGUAAUUACGUCACACUGUUAUUGUUAAAGUAUCUACAGGGGACAGAGUGACUUUGAAUUCGGAGCUGAAAGUGGUUUAUACCAACAACAUCUUUUUGGCCACUGCAUUUCAUUUGGAUAGAAGUCUGCAUCAUCAUAGCGAAUGGAAGAGAGAAAGGUUCUCUUUCAAAAACUUCUAGAGCUGAUAUAUUUCAGCAGGUUAAUUACAGCGGCUCUUCUUUGACCUUUUUUCUGUUCAUCUGCUCCUUGCUGCAUUUACAAUAAAGCAUUUUCCUUUGACACUG